rfam:Echinostoma caproni strain Egypt genome assembly, scaffold: ECPE_scaffold0007884
GCACUGCUGACGAGUCUCAAACACAGGACGAAACAGCUGUCCAGUGU